CGGGUUCGGUGGUUUUCCCAGUGGACGUCCCGGCAUUUCUGACAGACACGCAUCGAUCUUCCGCACUGUGCACUUGGCUACGUCACCUCCACGUGACGGCCAGCAUGCCCUGAUCGCGGUUGGGGUGUGUCAAUCAUCCUCAACAGCACCGGUGCAACACUUUUCUUUGUUGAUCCAGAAAUUCCAGAAUUAAAUUCAUAUAAAUUAGUGUUUUCUGGCUCACCUCACCCUGUUACAAUACUCCCUCCCUCUAAUCAGGCAAGAGAAACUGAAGCUUUACAGACUGGAAAAAUGGUCACAAUUGAAGAGUUGGGCCCCUUAGACCCAGAUUUAUAUACGGCAUCAAUUAAGCGGUUUAACACCAUAUGAAUGGUGGUAUGCUGCUUGCCCUACAUGUGCCAAACGAAUGUACAAGGACCCAACAAUUGGUCAACUGAUGUGCCAAAAACAUACAAAUCAAUGCCAACUCCUUGAGGUACAAAGUGUUCGUGGUCCUUGAAGACGAAACAAAUGAGAUCAAUGCUCUCAUUAUCAGCAAAUCAGGCGAAAAGGUCUUUGGCAUGCCAUGCAAAAAUUUGGUUUACAAUCAAAGAUCAACAUAUUACAAGCAAUUGCCAAGUGAGUUUCUCAGACUUAUAGGCCAAAGGAAAAUUUUUCACCUCCGGUUUGGAAGCCGACAAAAUUUGUUGAAUUCAAAUGAUCUCCUUAUCUACAAUGUUUCUGAGGACACAAUGAUCCAACCAACAACACUGGAGUCUAUUAUCAAAGAAAUUGCAGUGUCUUUAGCAACAGUUUCAUUGUCCACUACAUCAGCUGAAAAAACCAGAGAAAUGCACAAGAGGAAAAGAGAUUCAAUCAGGAGAGCCCUUUUUAUAGAGGCUGAAAACAGUGAGACAGAGGAAGUCUCUGAAGCAGAUGUGUAGGAUUUUGAUCAGAUUCCAAUCAAAUUGUUAAAAAAAACAUCUUCUCCAACAAGCAUGAAAAAAGACCCUCCUCUACCAAAAAAAACUAGUUACUGCCAGAAGGAACAAACUUUUGCUGCUAUAGAAAAGAGUCUGAUCAUCUUUUGUUAAAACAACAGUGCUUCUCCAUAUUUUUUGCGUGUAAAUAGGCCACCAUAACAUUGAUACCCCUAUUUUUUGUGCACAUGAACAAUCUGACGUUUUCAAAUCUUUCACCUGCAACUGCUGAUGCUGAUCAACACCUAACAUGGCUACCAGAGGCAUCCUCGUGCAACGGAUACAAAAAUGGAGUGAUGAUAGCAGCAGCAAGCGAUGCCAUUUGGGGCAACAGAGCUGCGUGUGGAAGAAGAUGCUGAGUGACAUGCAUCGGAGCCACCAACCAAGAUGUUUGGGUUAAUAUUUGAAUAUUGGCUUAAUAGAAAGAAAGCCCAAAGGUGCUAAAAUAAGUUGCACUUGCCCGAAGCCCAACCUUGAAGCCUGAUGCGGAGUAAAAGCCUUCUCAGCCAAGACAUAAGCCACGUAUUUAUGAUUGAAGUGAUAAGUGAUAGAGACUAACCUACUAUCAGCCAAAAAGCACUUUCUAGUGGCACGACAAGUAAAAAGUUGAUGACUCAUUACCUUCCAAAAGCUCUCGACCAAGAACAAAGAUAAGAGUAGUCGGGCCAAACUACCUAUAAAAGGGAGAAGAGACAACAGAGAUACGGACAUUGAACCAAUCAAACAAACAACAUACAAACUCUACUUUCAAGCCGAAUUUGCAUCUAGAAAAGCUGAAACCAACUUAGAUUCAAUCUUUUUAGUCAUAGUCUCCUUAUAAAAGUUAUCUUUUGCCUAGUUUAAAAGCUCUGCUACCUUUCUUAGUGUUAUAGUAUCAAUUCUCUCGUGUAAAACGUACCAUCCGUCCCUUUUUAGAUCACAACCUUUGUAAACACAAAGAGAAGUGGCUGCAAGAGGUUCAAUCUUACCAGAUAAGGUGAAAUUUUACACUAGUCUCUUUGUUUGUCCUCUAAAUUAGUAGAUUUGUCGCCUAAAUGUAUUUUUCAGCAUGUAUGCAAAUUAUUUCCAAUUAUUUCUAAUUAUUUCCUACUUAA